CUUCGUCUGCAAUGUUUCUGCCUCUUUUGACUUCGUUUGUCGGUUGAGUAGACGUGUCGGCCCUUGACAUUUUUUCCUAUAACAUGUUAGGAGUGGACAGUAAAUAGAGGCCCACAGUACUAACUUAAAACUAAUGGUUAUUUUAGUGAUAGUUUAUUGCGUAAGGUAAAACGUGAUAUCAGCUAGCUAAAGAGCAACAUUAGCUCUGUCCUGACGGGCCUCAAGCAGACACGUGGGGAAGACUGAAAGAUGGACAAGACGAAAGACAAGUGGACUUCACCCUGGCAGCUCUUUGCUAGAGUUCAGAUCCCAUAUUGGAUAUAUGGGGGUCUCAUGUCUGUGGGAGACUGCUCAGAUCCGGCCUGGUCUAGAUGAUGGAAAGUCAAUACUCGGCUGAAAAAACUGACAUAAGAUGUUGAUACCAGGAAAAUAAGCCUGUUGAUGACCACAGGUCUGAAUGAUGGUUUCCAUGCAACUCUGUGCAUGCUCCCAACUAAACCAGCAUACUGAAGACCAUUUGCUUCCAGCAGGUUGAGCUGGUUGCUGAAGGAGAUUCCUCUGAAGAGAGACUUGUUAUGAGGUGUCUUUCUGCCAGUCGGAUCCUGUCCCCUGAAGUCUGCUGUUGGGGGAAUUUAACAGAUUUGGAUCCAGUGGUUGCAAUGACUGUUAUACCUGCAAAGCUACAUGUGAUGACAAGAGGACUCACACACUGGUCUGAAGAUGUUUGUUGAAAGACAUUUUUGUAAAAAGCAGACUGAUUAAAUGUUUGGUAUAUUGUAAUAAAGCACAAAAACAGCCUGAUCGUUGAAA